CAGUAGCCGCGGUAAUACGAAGGGGGCUAGCGUUGUUCGGAAUUACUGGGCGUAAAGCGCGUGUAGGCGGGUCCUUAAGUCAGGGGUGAAAUGCCAAGGCUCAACCUUGGAACUGCCUUUGAUACUGGGGAUCUUGAGUCCGGGAGAGGUGAGUGGAACUGCGAGUGUAGAGGUGAAAUUCGUAGAUAUUCGCAAGAGCACCAGUGGCGAAGGCGACUCUCUGGUCUGUAACUGACGCUGAGGAGCGAAAGCGUGGGGAGCGAACAGGAUUAGAUACCCGCGUAGUCCCUGUCUCUUAUAA
rnacentral:rRNA from 1 species